CCUGGUUGAUCCUGCCAGUAGUCAUAUGCUUGUCUCAAAGAUUAAGCCAUGCAUGUGUAAGUAUGAACAAAUUCAGACUGUGAAACUGCGAAUGGCUCAUUAAAUCAGUUAUAGUUUGUUUGAUGGUAUCUACUACUCGGAUAACCGUAGUAAUUCUAGAGCUAAUACGUGCAACAAACCCCGACUUCUGGAAGGGAUGCAUUUAUUAGAUCAAAGUUCGACGCGAGCUCUGCUUGUUGCUGCGAUGAUUCAUGAUAACUUGAUGGAUCGCACGGCCAUCGUGCCGGUGACGCAUCAUUCAAAUUUUUGCCCUAUCAACAUUCGAUGGUAGGAUAGUGGCCUACCAUGAUGGUGACGGGUGACAGAGAAUUAGGGUUCGAUUCUGGAGAGAGAGCCUGAGAAACGACUACCACAUCCAAGGAAGGCAGCAGGCACGCAAAUUAUCAAAUACUAGCACGGGGAGGUAGUGACAAUAAAUAACAAUACCGGGCUCUAUGGGUCUGAUAAUUGGAAUGAGUACAAUCUAAAUCCCUUAACGAGGAUCCAUUAGAGGGCAAGUCUGGUGCCAGCAGCCGCGGUAAUUCCAGCUCCAAUAGCGUAUAUUUAAGUUGUUGCAGUUAAAAAUCUCAUAAUUUGACUUUGGUAUGGGCCGGCCGGUCCGCCUUUGGUGUGCACCAGUCGUCUUAUCACUAUGACGGGCGAUGCGCUCCUGGCUUUAAUUAGCCGUGCCUUGCCUCCGGUGUUUUUACUUUGAAGAAAUUAGAGUGCUCAAAGCAAGCCUAUGCUCUAUAUACAUUUGCAUAGGAUAACAUUAUAGGAUUUCGAUCCUAUUACAUUGGCCUUCAGGAUCGGAGUAAUGAUUAACAUGGACAGUCGGCGGCAUUCGUAUUUCUUAGUUAGAGGUAAAAUUCUUGGAUUUAUGAAAGAUGAACAACUACGAAAGCAUUUGCUAAGGAUGUUUUCAUUAAUCAAGAAUGAAAGUUGGGGGCUCGAGGACGAUCAGAUAUCGUCCUAGUCUCUGUCACACCUCCUUUUUCCGCCCCCGCGAGGGGCGUAGGAGUUUUUUCCAGUUAAAGGACAAUCGAAAUGGGAUUUGUUUAUUUAUUUCAGAGUCACCACUUGGGAGAUUUAGGGUGUCCCAAGUCACCAAUUUUAAUCCCGAAUCGAGGAAAAGAAUGACUCUGUAUUACAGUCUACGAUCCAGAAAUCCGGAUAAGGAAUUCUGUUAACCCGGGAGAAGGUGUUAGGCAUUCCCGAAUUCCGUGGUUCUAGCACGGUCGCUCAACUGUCAUAUUCGGUUUAUUUAUCAGAUUUUUAUACAAUUAUGAACCGAUGUGCCAAUUUUAACUUUUUACCACUUUAUUAUUAUUAUUUUUUUAAAACAAAUGUGAACAUCGCUUAAAACACGUCUUUGGACUGCGUCACAUGAAAUGCACCCACAAUCCGGAACACAUUUUAUUUGAUGUUUUGGGAUUUGGAUUUGGGUCGCAUGAAAUGCACACCCGUGUUUAGGAAUGUAUUAUUAUUAAAAUCGUGCCUAAAGCGAUUAGCGUAUUAUUAUUUCUGGGUAAGACCGUGGGAUUCACUUAAUA
rnacentral:rRNA from 1 species